CUUACUGUUUUUGCACCCGUCAAAGCAAUUGCAGACUUACAGGAAGCCGCAAACGUCGCACACAACCCGUUUCACUGGAGAGAAGUGAAGAUUUGAGCGAUUUUAAGCAUCGAUGUCCUGAAGCGCAUAGACCUGCGCAUGUACUCGAGUUCAUUCUGCAGCAUGAGUUUCAAAAACAGGAAGUUCUCCCUGGACAGCUCUUUCUCUGCAGACGGAGAUGGAGUCCUGGUCGUGCGUAAGAGCAGCAGCAGCAGGUUCAGCGGCAAGAAGCCGAAGCCGAGCCUGGAUGACGCCCGAGCCGAGAUCCAGGAGCUCCACCGUGACCUCAACGCCAACGUGUCCCAGAGGAAGCCGGCCGCGGCAGAAGACGGCCCUGAGCGAUCAGAUGAGCUUAUCAGCAGUCAUAGCUUCCAGAAGCUCAACAAAUCCUUUCACAAACUGUUCCCAGAUAUUCCUGAGGGGGAGAGCCUAAUACAGAGCUUCACCUUCGCCCUGCAGAAGGAGAUCCUCUAUCAUGGAAAACUCUUUGUUUCUGAAAACCACGUGUGUUUUCACUCGUCUGUUCUUCUUAGAGACACCAAGGCAGCGAUUCCUGUAUCCAGCAUCACGGAGGUGAAGAAGCACAACGCAGCCUUGUCCAUGCUCACUAUUCACACUGCCAGUGAGAAGUUCUCGUUCGUGUCUCUGAGGAACCGGGACCUGUGCUACAAGCUCCUCCGCAGCGUCUGCUCACACGCACAGCAGCGCGAGAGGCCGGGCAGCGGCGGCCGCCAGACGCCGACCGCGGAGGACGACGCCGGCGGCGACGUGGCCUUCAGUUCCUCCAGUCUGGACGACAACACAGAUCAGGAUCUGAGCAAACAACAGGGCUUCCACCUGGACAAUGGCUUCGCUCAUGUGCCCGGUAGAGGCCCCACCAGAUAUGAUUCAAGCGUAACCGAUGACGGCAGAGCCACCGUGUCCUGGCUUCAGAGCUUCAUUGAGACGGUCGCAGACUUCGAGCAUAUGAGCAUGUUCUUCUACAUCUAUGUGAUGCUGAUGGUGGUGCUGGUGCUGGUGUCGGGCUACAUCGGGCUGAGGAUCGUGGCCCUGGAGGAGCAGCUGAACUCGCUGGGGGCGCUCACAGAGCUGUCUCUACAGUACAGAGAGUGAGUAGGAGCACAAACGCAAACAAAAAGGGAGCGCUUCAGUAAAAGCGACGCACGAGGAAUUUCGCCCGGGACGAUGGCGAAAACACGAGAUGGUUUAAACCGGUUCUGUUGACUCUAAAACCAUUAUGUGCAAAUCAGACAAGGAGCAGUUCUACAGGUUCACUGUGGACAAAAGCAACGUCAUUACAGGAAACACUGGAAAUGUUCUACUCACAAAGAGAUUCCUGAACAUAAGUUUCUGGCAUCAAGAAACGUAGCCGGUGGCGGAGACCUCAGGAAUCCUUCCAGGAACUGAUGCAAUGUCUCACUGUAUUACAAGCCCACUGUACAUUAAUCCUCAUCCAGACUGACUCUCAGUGCUGAGACUGCAUGCGGAGCCUGUCAUCCAGGAAUGUGUGUCAGUCCUAUUAGCAGCAGGUCGUACAUGGAACCCAUGGGAUGCGUGGAGUAGACCGCACAAGGUGAACUCCACGCGUGACAGCCCGCGCUGGCGGGGCGGCACAUUACUUUCUGUCCGCUUCUCUGCUGACGCCUCAGAAACGGAGGCGAGGCGCUCCUGCUCGGAGCCAUAUGGAGGCAGCCUGCUGAAGCCAUGUUUAUUUCCUGGCUGCUGAACAGCUGAGCUCAGCUCCAGCAGCAGAGGUUGUUUUGGCCAGUCAACACAACCUGCUGCUGUGAGGACACGUCAGGGGUUAAGACGAUGACUUAAGCACUUUGCUGACUUAAAUUUAUUACACGCUAUGAAUUUGAGGGCUCAUACUGUGUAAUAUGGAGUUUGGCACGUUGCAGACUGUUAAUGACGGUGGUUGACCACAAGAGGGCAGCAACUCCUAAUAAACUCAUCCAUGUGACAAGACAAAGACUAAAUGUUAGUCCUAAAAAUACUCAGGCCAGUUGAUAAAUACUUAUAUUUUACAACUAAGGUUCCUUUACAUUUUUAGCCUCAAAUUUCCAUAUCUUUAAAAUAUGAUAAUCAUUGCACAAUAAUGCUUAUAAAAUGUUUCAAUGAAAAAUAUUUGAAAAUCCAUCAGUUUUGUUAUUUGAUGGACAUAAGCAUGUCAGGCAUUCACUUUGUACAUGAAAAACAUGUUUUAUAAUAUAAAUGAUAAGAUAUUGUAAAGACCAUAACUUAAACACUGGUUGUUUAAAAACAAUGCUUCAACCAUCAUAUUUUUGUACAUACGUGAUCUUUUUAUUAUUUUGUUGUCAAUAAAAAGGUCAAGAUUCA